GCUUGCUAGAUUUGUGUUGAGACUGCUGGGAAUUAGAACAAAGCCUAAAAAGGUUCAGCCACUCCUAAUGAUGGUUUAUAAGACUAAUUUAUGCCACUGAGACUCAAAUAUGUGUUCCAUUAGUUUAAUGGGAGAGAAUUUACUUUCCCCUCAUUUGUGAAGCAAAUCAUACCAUAAUAGAAAGCUAUUGUGAUGAUGAGAGAAUGGUGUUAUCUUCACUCAGGCAAAGCGUUGAUGUCGAUUAAGGCGUCGUUUAGCAACAUAGCAAAUGUGUUGCUGGACUGGGAUGAUGUUCACAAUGAUGAUUUCUUUGCUAAUUGGAGACUGAAGAAUCUACAAUCCAUUUGAAAUAUUUUCAGGAAUUUUCAAGGGAACAAAUUAACUGGUCAAAUUCCUGAUGAGAUAGGCAACUGUGUUUCUCUGAUGCUGGUGUAAAAUUUCAUCUUCUUUCUUCAUUGCAAUUUUAUUUACAUAUAUGUGGAUGUAUUAAUAUCUUCUUCUGUAACUACCGCUGCAACCCGUUCCUUACUUGCUAUUGCUGUUGCCACAAGUGGCAAUGGAUGCCUCCCAAACCUUUUUUUUAUCUUUAUCUAAAUAGUAGUGUCUUUUUUCCCUAGAUAGUCUGAAUGAGAUCACAUAGUCUAAAUUAGAUUUUUCAGCACCAGACUUUCGGAUGUUCGAAUUUUCCCAUUUGUUUGAAUUUGAAAGUCUGAAUGCGACCAUGAUUCUUCUUUUUUUUCUUCCCCUUUUUGGGUGCUGUGGCAUUUCUCCUUUUUUAUGAUAUGAUGUUCUCUUAGCAACCGAUCAUUUUUUUAAUUAUUUAUUAUGAUGUUUAUUAAUUGAUUAGAUAAUGGGGAAGACUAAAAAAAAUGACAGCUUAUUGUUUUUUGCUUGCAUUGCUUCUAAAUAGUUUAAUGUUCCCCACUCAAAAAUAAAUGAUACACUAUAUAUGGGUUAAAUAAGGAUCACAUUGCUUCUAAACCCUUUUCCAUACUUGCAUUCUACAGGUUCAUCUGCUAAACAAGACAAAUACCCAACUUGCAAGAAUGGUUUGAUUUUCUUUUAUAUAUUUUAUUUGCUUGAUUUGGGUCUUCUAAUGUGUUUUGUAAUUAUGUGGUUCGGGGAAACUGAGUUGAUGUCGAACCUUCACUCAUUUGUUCCCACUC